AUACCGGGCUAUCCUUUGCUGAUAUGUAGUCAUCCGAAUUUGAGCUUGCUGUCGGAGUUCUGGAAGGAGAUCCAAAUCAGCUCUCCGACAUUCAGAGUUGCUCAGUUCACAAUAUUGUUCGACUCUUGUUGAUGGCAAUCCGAUCUCGAGCGGUAUCAUUGCUUCUGCUCCAUAAGCUAAAUUGAAGGAGGAUUCUCUUAUCGGUAUGCGGAGAGUCAUCCGAUAUGCUCAUA
rnacentral:lncRNA from 1 species